AACCAGAAUGAGGUUUAGGUUUAGCAACUUGAGGUGCAUCCAGCAACAAUUGAGGUAACCUAUUUUGGUCAAGAAGCUUUUUCUGUGCGAGCCAUAAAUAUGACGAAUCUUUGCCUGAGGACUUUAAACUGAUUCCAGACUGGCGAAGUUUCACAUUAACACUGAAGAUGUUUCUUAAAGACAACAGCUUAAAGCUGUUUUCGUCGAGUUCCCUUCGGUCUCCAAGAGCUUAAAGCGGAGAAACAGACGCAGGAUAUAAACAGGUGGCCUGCAGGGACCGAAUACGAGAAAAUCAUCUCUGUUGCUCUGUUAAUGGCAUCUUUCUUGUCGAGGCUCCCGGCUCAUUGGAGGCAGGUUCCAUUAUGGUGGCCACGGGCUGGGAGAGGAGGAAGCACGCGCGCACACACACACACAAAUCCAAUCUGAGCCUUCCUCUAUGUUUGCCUUUCACUUCCAGGCAUUUUCAGUGUCUCUGGAUGACUUACCUCCUCUGGCUCAGCUUCACUUCCCUGCCUCAUCUAAGCACCAAAUAAAUCUUUAAAACCAAAUAAAGACUUAUCAUACAGGCCUCGCUUCUGUCCAUUUUCAUCCAUGACAGGAAGCAUAUAUUUAUUACCGAGAGUGGAACAAACUCAACACAAUUACAGCCCCGUGUCAGCCUGCGAUACUGCGACGCCGAUAACAG